UGCUUGUGCUAGGAGUAUUCCAAUCUA
rnacentral:piRNA from 1 species